AGAGUUUGAUCCUGGCUCAGGAUGAACGCUAGCUACAGGCUUAACACAUGCAAGUCGAGGGGCAGCGGGAUUGAAGCUUGCUUCAAUUGCCGGCGACCGGCGCACGGGUGAGUAACGCGUAUCCAACCUUCCGUACACUCAGGGAUAGCCUUUCGAAAGAAAGAUUAAUACCUGAUGGUAUGAURAGCUCGCAUGAUAUUAUCAUUAAAGAUUCAUCGGUGUACGAUGGGGAUGCGUUCCAUUAGGUAGUAGGCGGGGUAACGGCCCACCUAGCCGACGAUGGAUAGGGGUUCUGAGAGGAAGGUCCCCCACAUUGGAACUGAGACACGGUCCAAACUCCUACGGGAGGCAGCAGUGAGGAAUAUUGGUCAAUGGACGAGAGUCUGAACCAGCCAAGUAGCGUGAAGGAUGAAGGUCCUACGGAUUGUAAACUUCUUUUAUAAGGGAAUAAACCCUCCCACGUGUGGGAGCUUGUAUGUACCUUAUGAAUAAGCAUCGGCUAACUCCGUGCCAGCAGCCGCGGU
rnacentral:rRNA from 1 species